rnacentral:lncRNA from 1 species
CCAAGAUGGCGGAAGCGGAGGACUCUCCUGGAGAGCAGGAGGCAACGUCAUCUAAGCCCCUGGUGAGUUAGAGCAUUGUGACAGAAGAGGCUGAGGGUGAGGCAGAGCUCCCGGCAAGGAAGUCCGGAACGCGUCGAGUUUGCAGGGUUAUCUGAUGUGUCAAUUUCACAGGACAUUCCCAUAGAAGGAGAGAUUACCAUCCCCUCAGGAACUCGUGCUCAAGAAUGUGACAGCUCCACACUAAAUGAAUCCAUUCGUCGGACCAUCAUGCGAGAUCUAAAAGCUGUGGGAAGGAAGUUUAUGCACGUUUUAUAUCCAAGGAAAAGUAAUACCCUGUUAAGAGAUUGGGACUUGUGGGGCCCGUUGAUUCUUUGUGUGUCACUUGCAUUGAUGCUACAGAAAAGUUCUGUAGAAGGGAAGAGGGAUGGCGGAAGCCCAGAGUUUGCAGAAGUGUUCGUUAUCAUCUGGUUUGGAGCAGUUACCAUCACACUAAAUUCCAAACUUCUUGGUGGAAACAU